UACGUAGGGCGCAAGCGUUGUCCGGAAUUAUUGGGCGUAAAGAGCUCGUAGGCGGUUUGUCGCGUCUGCCGUGAAAGCCCGGGGCUUAACUCCGGGUCUGCGGUGGAUACGGGCAGACUAGAGGCAGGUAGGGGAGAACGGAAUUCCCGGUGUAGCGGUGAAAUGCGCAGAUAUCUGGAGGAACACCGGUGGCGAAGGCGGCGUUCUGGACUGCAACUGACACUGAGGAACGAAAGCCAGGGGAGCAAACGGG
rnacentral:rRNA from 1 species